AAAUUAUAAUUUUAAUUUUAAUUUUAAUUUGAGUCCAUAAAUUUAAUUAAGUUUGAAAUAAAAUUUGAAUAAAAUUUUAUAUAAGUUAAAAUUUAAUUUAAAUUCAAAUUCAUAGGUUAGAUUCGAAAUACUUGAUUAAAUUUUAAUUUUUAAUUUAAGUUUAAAUUAAAAUUUAAAAUUAUAUAUUUAAUUUUUAAAUUUUAAUUUAUAUUUUAAUUAAAAAAUUAAAAAAAUAAAUUUAAUCCGAAUAAAUAUCCAUUCCGUCCGGAUUCAAUUUCUAAUCCGGCUUCCUAGACCGGAUUGAGAAAAGAAGUGAUUGGGGAAUUUCCAUUCCACUUGAAAACCGGAAUCGGCAUGAAACUCCCGCGUACUAUACACUAACAAACGAAUUCAUACAUUCCGAUUUCGAUUUCAGGAUGAAAAAGAAACGAACCAAACAAGCCCUCAAUUUCUACUCCGCUCCUUUCAUAGUCAGCAUAAC
rnacentral:lncRNA from 1 species